UCGACGAAAGUUGACUUCCGCAAGGACACUCGUAGAGGUGCUGCAUGGCUGUCGUCAGCUCGUGUCGUGAGAUGUUGGGUUAAGUCCCGCAACGAGCGCAACCCUUGUCUGCUGUUGCCAUCAGGUAAUGCUGGGCACUCUGCAGAGACUGCCGGUGAUAAACCGGAGGAAGGUGGGGAUGACGUCAAGUCAGCAUGGCCUUUAUGUCUGGGGCUACACACGUGCUACAAUGGCCGAUACAAACCGUCGCAAAACCGCAAGGUGGAGCUAAUCGGAGAAAAUCGGUCUCAGUUCGGAUUGUAGGCUGCAACUCGCCUGCAUGAAGUUGGAAUCGCUAGUAAUCGCGGAUCAGCACGCCGCGGUGAAUACGUUCCCGGGCCUUGUACACACCGCCCGUCACAUCACGAAAGCCGGUUGUACUAGAAGUCGCCACAUCAACCCGCAAGGGAGAGAGGCGCCUAAGGUAUGGUCGGUGAUUGGGGUGAAGUCGUAACAAGGUAGGCGUAGAUGA
rnacentral:rRNA from 1 species